AUGAAUUGCUUGGCCUGGAACUGUCGGGGACUCGGGUUGGACUCGACAGUUGGCGAAUUACGGGACCUGAUACGGUCAUACAACCCAGCGGUGGUUUUUUUGUCGGAAACUAAGAAGAGUGCUAAAGCUAUGGAGAAACUUAAGUGGAGUUUGGGGUUUCGCAAUGGUGUGGCUGUGGAUUGUAAGGGGAGAAGUGGUGGGCUUGCACUAUGGUGGAGAGAGCAUAUUCAGGUCACAGUUAGGCCAUGGUGCCAGUACUACAUUGAUGCCGAGGUUUGUGCGGAUGGGCACACCUGGAGAUUCACUGGAAUCUAUGGGGAACCUAGGACUGAUCUGAGAAAGAAAACAUGGGAUGCCAUACGGUAUCUUAAAUUCCAAGAUGAUUUACCUUGGCUUUGUGUCGGUGACUUCAACGAAAUUUUGUGUAGAUCGGAACAACUUGGCGGUAACCCAAGGAACUUCUCUCAAAUGCAAGACUUCUCUGAGUGCCUAACCGACUGCGGUUUGGCUGACCUCGGCUUCUCGGGCUACCAGUUCACAUAG
rnacentral:rRNA from 1 species